rnacentral:rRNA from 1 species
UACGUAGGGUGCAAGCGUUGUCCGGAAUUAUUGGGCGUAAAGAGCUCGUAGGCGGUCUGUCGCGUCGAUCGUGAAAACUUGGGGCUUAACCCUGAGCUUGCGGUCGAUACGGGCAUGACUGGAGUUCGGCAGGGGAGACUGGAAUUCCUGGUGUAGCGGUGAAAUGCGCAGAUAUCAGGAGGAACACCGGUGGCGAAGGCGGGUCUCUGGGCCGAUACUGACGCUGAGGAGCGAAAGCGUGGGGAGCGAACAGGG